rnacentral:rRNA from 1 species
UACGGAGGGAGCUAGCGUUGUUCGGAAAUACUGGGCGUAAAGCGCACGUAGGCGGCGCAGCAAGUCAGGGGUGAAAUCCCGGGGCUCAACCUCGGAACUGCCUUUGAAACUGCAGUGCUAGAAUCUUGGAGAGGCGAGUGGAAUUCCGAGUGUAGAGGUGAAAUUCGUAGAUAUUCGGAAGAACACCAGUGGCGAAGGCGACUCGCUGGACAAGUAUUGACGCUGAGGUGCGAAAGCGUGGGGAGCAAACAGG